rnacentral:rRNA from 1 species
CCUACGGGAGGCAGCAGUGGGGAAUAUUGCACAAUGGGGGAAACCCUGAUGCAGCGACGCCGCGUGAGUGAAGAAGUAAUUCGUUACGUAAAGCUCUAUCAGCAGGGAAGAAACACUGACCUUACGGUCAGCAGACGGUACCUGAGUAAGAAGCCCCGGCUAACUCCGUGCCAGCAGCCGCGGUAAUACGUAGGGGGCAAGCGUUAUCCGGAAUUACUGGGUGUAAAGGGAGCGUAGACGGUGAUGCAAGUCUGGAGGUAAAGGCGGGGGGCCAACCCCCGGACUGCCCUUGAAACUGCGUAACUUGAGUGCAGGAGAGGUAAGCGGAAUUCGUGGUGUAGCGGUGAAAUGCGUAGAUAUUAGGAGGAACACCAGUGGCGAAGGCAGCUUACUGGACUGUAACUGACGUUGAGGCUCGAAAGCGUGGGUAGCAAACAGGAUUAGAUACCCGGGUAGUC